rnacentral:misc_RNA from 1 species
UCCGGUUUGGCACCGGCAGUCUCCCUAGAGUGCCCGGCCUGACCCGCUGGCAACUAAGGACGGGGGUUGCGCUCGUUGCGGGACUUAACCCAACAUCUCACGACACGAGCUGACGACAGCCAUGCAGCACCUGUGCACGGAUCCCGAAGGAGGCCCCCGCUUUCACAGGGGUUUCCCGUGCAUGUCAAGCCCAGGUAAGGUUCUUCGCGUUGCGUCGAAUUAAACCACAUGCUCCACCGCUUGUGCGGGCCCCCGUCAAUUCCUUUGAGUUUCAGCCUUGCGGCCGUACUCCCCAGGCGGGGCACUUAAUGCGUUAGCGCCGGCACCCGGGGGGUCGCUCCCCCGGGCACCUAGUGCCCAUCGUUUACGGCGUGGACUAC